UACGAAGGGUGCAAGCGUUACUCGGAAUUACUGGGCGUAAAGCGUGCGUAGGUGGUUUGUUAAGUCUGAUGUGAAAGCCCUGGGCUCAACCUGGGAAUUGCAUUGGAUACUGGCAGGCUAGAGUGCGGUAGAGGAUGGCGGAAUUCCCGGUGUAGCAGUGAAAUGCGUAGAUAUCUGGAGGAACACCGGUGGCGAAGGCGGCGUUCUGGACUGUUUCUGACACUGUAAAACGAAAGCCAGGGGAGCAAACGGG
rnacentral:rRNA from 1 species